AGUGAACGCUGGCGGCGUGCUUAACACAUGCAAGUCGAACGAGCACGGAUUAUAGCUUGCUAUAAGUGUCAGCUAAGUAGCGCACGGGUGAGUACUGUAUAGGUAAUAUGCCUCUUACGCAGGGAUAACAUAUGGAAACGUUUGCUAAUACCCUAUACUCCUUAUUAACAGAACUUAAUCAGGGAAAGAUUUAUUGGUAAGACAUUAGCCUGUAUUGUAUCAGUUAGUUGUUGGGGUACUGGCGUCCCAAGAAUAUGAACCAUAACUGGCUGGAGAGGAGGAUCGGUCACACUGGAACUGAGACACGGUCCAGGCUCCUACGGGAGGCAGCAGUGGGGAAUAUUGCACAAUGGACGAAAGUCUGAUGCAGCAACGCCGCGUGGAGGAUGACACAUUUCGGUGCGUAAACUCCUUUUAUAUGAGAAGAUAAUGACGGUAUUAUAUGAAUAAGCACCGGCUAACUCCGUGCCAGCCGCCGCGGUAA
rnacentral:rRNA from 1 species